rnacentral:rRNA from 1 species
ACGAACGCUGGCGGCGUGCUUAACACAUGCAAGUCGAACGGAAAGGCCCUGCUUUUGUGGGGUGCUCGAGUGGCGAACGGGUGAGUAACACGUGAGUAACCUGCCCUUGACUUUGGGAUAACUUCAGGAAACUGGGGCUAAUACCGGAUAGGAGCUCCUGCUGCAUGGUGGGGGUUGGAAAGUUUCGGCGGUUGGGGAUGGACUCGCGGCUUAUCAGCUUGUUGGUGGGGUAGUGGCUUACCAAGGCUUUGACGGGUAGCCUGCCUGAGAGGGUGACCGGCCACAUUGGGACUGAGAUACGGCCCAGACUCCUACGGGAGGCAGCAGUGGGGAAUAUUGCACAAUGGGCGGAAGCCUGAUGCAGCAACGCCGCGUGCGGGAUGACGGCCUUCGGGUUGUAAACCGCUUUCGCCUGUGACGAAGCGUGAGUGACGGUAAUGGGUAAAGAAGCACCGGCUAACUACGUG